rnacentral:rRNA from 1 species
GACGAACGCUGGCGGCGUGCUUAACACAUGCAAGUCGAACGGAAAGGCCCUGCUUUUGUGGGGUGCUCGAGUGGCGAACGGGUGAGUAACACGUGAGUAACCUGCCCUUGACUUUGGGAUAACUUCAGGAAACUGGGGCUAAUACCGGAUAGGAGCUCCUGCUGCAUGGUGGGGGUUGGAAAGUUUCGGCGGUUGGGGAUGGACUCGCGGCUUAUCAGCUUGUUGGUGGGGUAGUGGCUUACAAAGGCUUUGACGGGUAGCCGGCCUGAGAGGGUGACCGGCCACAUUGGGACUGAGAUACGGCCCAGACUCCUACGGGAGGCAGGAGUGGGGAAUAUUGCACAAUGGGCGGAAGCCUGAUGCAGCAACGCCGCGUGCGGGAUGACGGCCUUCGGGUUGUAAACCGCUUUCGCCUGUGACGAAGCGUGAGUGACGGUAAUGGGUAAAGAAGCACCGGCUAACUACGU